rnacentral:misc_RNA from 1 species
AUGAACCAGGUUGUAGUUCUGGUGCCCAAUCUAAUGAUGCUGCUUUAUCUCAGUUAUCUGCCAUGCAGGAUAUGCUUGAUCAGUUACUAAGCAUGCAGAAAGAAAUGCAGAAGCAGAUGACUACGAUGAUUUCUGUCCCAGUUUCCAAAGAAGGUAAAAGGCUAGAGGCAUCCUUGGGCCGGAGUAUUGAGAAAGUUGUUAAGGCUAAUAC